UAUAUAUAUUUUUUUUUAAAUAUAUACGUACUUACAUAUACAUAAGUAAAUAUUUGUACUGUAAAUAAUAAGCGAAAAGUAAAGUUGAAAAAAGCCAUUCCCUCGCAGAAGCAAGUUCGUACGUGCUGCGAAGCAAUUGUUUGGAAUUCGAUGUGGUCGACCUCGAGGAUUACUUACCUCGGAAUAUUGAGAAUGUACCGACGAUCGAUAUGAUGAUCGGUGGUUUCAAAUGUCCCGUCUCUGCUUUGCCCUUUGGCGCUUUGAAAUCUGACUGGGCAAGAUUACUGCUCCUGCAGAGAGCGCAACCAAAGGAUUCGAUUCUCUCGAAGAAACUAGGUCGUCUUUUCAGAAUCUUAGCUUAUUUCCAAAUAGAGCAACAUUACGAUAUUAUUCAAUCUGGAAUUUUCAGCAGCGUAACCGUUACGAAAAGGAAAGAAACGAAGGGAUUCAACAGCUCGGCAAUCGAUUUAGAAGGGAUAGAUAAAAAUUUUACUGCAAAUACUUUUUUCGACGAUAAAAAGUCCAUUGACACAAUUAAUACGGCAAUAAUUCUUGGACAACCGUCGAAUUUUUAUCGAUCGAUAAUCGGAUGACAUGAAACGAUACGAGAAAAAGAAGAUGGUAAAUAUUACCACCGGUUUUUCAGAUAUAAAUAAAAAAAUUACGCAGAAAACAAAUGAAAUCCGUCGCAAUCGAAAUCGCGAAUAAUUUUACGAAAAGUCAAGGUGGUGCAAAUAUUUGUAGAAAAAAGGAUCGAGUAAAAAUAAAGAUGACACCUUUACCGUUACCGACAUUUCGGAAAUAACGAUUUCUAAUUCAAGUCGAGAAUCAAUAGUGAAAAAUAUGAAGGGAGAGGGAACGACGAGAUCGAUUUUCACCAUUAAAAUUAACACGAUGAAAUCUGAUGAUGGUAUGGAAGAUUUUAAAAGAAUAAGCGAUUUUUCUACGUCGUACGAUUACUCCAUAAAGUUCAAUUUAGAAUUGGAAUUGAAAAUGUAAAUAGUCUGGAGAUUUUUGAUGUAAAAACUAGGCGUUCAUUCGGAUAAAAUCUCCGCUAACUCGAGCGAAAGUUUUAAUCAAAGUCCUUCGAAUCGUCAAACAAACGACGUGUUCCUUCGGAAAGAUUCCGUGGAAUUUCUCGAAUAAGAAACCUCCGACUUAUAAAAAACUUGGAAAGCCCUCGUUGGAUAACUUUUCGAAAUACAUUGUAAUUUCACGAAAUGUUAGUUUAACCACUUCUCCUUCUGUAGAAAAUUAAAGGAGAUUAAAAAUGCAGAUAAAUCUAAAGGAAGUUCGACGAAAUCCAAAAAGCUUGAACACGAAUAUCGAAAAGGAUCUUGGAUGGUUUUACAAUUUUGCCCACGAAGAUAACAAACAAUACAGUAAUAAUCCGGCUGAUCGUCGAGGUAUUCGUAUCAAAUGCAACGGGAAGAAACGCAGCGGUAGAAAAGAAGCUUUACUCUUCUGAUCUGCAAAAAUAUAAUAGGAUAAUUUUUUUUAUGAAAAAAUAGGAUAAGAAACGAAUCAAACAUUGCCUACCUAAAUAAAAUUGUUCGAAUCUCGCUUAAUUGGACUUUACACUUCUUGAUUUCCUUUAUCGUGUCACGUUUGCACGUUGGAGAAGCUGGUACGACGACUGGGACAUUUGCCGAUUCUUAUCAAUGGCCGUCCAGUCCAUAAAUUCACGAGCCGGUGACCAAUAUUUACGAGGUCCUCUUCAAGCGUUACAAGCUGUAAACGAGUCCUCUUAUUAAUCCUAUGCACAAGAUUUUUCGAAUCGUCGACCAGCGAGUAAGCAGUUGAAUCGUUUGCGAUGCAACGCGAUUAGGUGACAAUUCAUGCGAUAUGCGUUGAACGGGGCGUCGUGUUUCGUAUGCGAUUGCGAUUCGAGUUGAAAUUACACGCGAAGUAAUAGGGGAGGGGAAAAAGAUAGGGGAUCAGUUUUGCACUGUUUAAAAUGUUCUCGUUAUUCGUAAGGGAGGGAGGAGGGGAAGGGAACGAGAACGAUUGCGAUGAGUUCAUAAUUGGCUUUACGCAAACUAUCGUGACUCGAUGGUUUAAUAACGGUUUUUCGAGAUAGCAGAGCCGAUCGGUUUAAUUUGCAACGAUAGCAUAUCAGUGGGUUGCGGUUAAUAACCAGUCCAAGGUACGUGAACAAAUAGGUGUGUUCAAUCAGCAUCCCGCGUCGUUCCAAAUUACUCCGCAAUAUUUUUGUUAAAAUAUCCAUCCGCCGUCGGUUUCAUCCAUCGAUGUACAAUAUCGUAUAAAUGUAACGCGUACGACUGAUUAUUCAAAACGUACGGAGAAAGCACGGGGAAUUGAAUAAUUUUAUCGCUUUAUUUAUGCGAGAAAGUUUUGUAAAUACGUUUUGGAACCUUUAAUAAAGAAAAAGUGAAUGAAAAA